rnacentral:tRNA from 1 species
GCCUUGAUGGUGUGAGUGGAAACACUCGACUCCUAAUCGAGAGGUCCGGAGUUCGAAUCUCAGCGAGGGCA